rnacentral:rRNA from 1 species
AAAUUGAAGAGUUUGAUCAUGGCUCAGAUUGAACGCUGGCGGCAGGCCUAACACAUGCAAGUCGAACGGUAACAGAAAGCAGCUUGCUGCUUUGCUGACGAGUGGCGGACGGGUGAGUAAUGUCUGGGAAACUGCCUGAUGGAGGGGGAUAACUACUGGAAACGGUAGCUAAUACCGCAUAACGUCGCAAGACCAAAGAGGGGGACCUUCGGGCCUCUUGCCAUCGGAUGUGCCCAGAUGGGAUUAGCUAGUAGGUGGGGUAACGGCUCACCUAGGCGACGAUCCCUAGCUGGUCUGAGAGGAUGACCAGCCACA